GCACCGGUAGCUCAAUGGUAGAGCAGUUGACUCUUAAUCAAUUGGUUGAAGGUUCGAGUCCUUCCCGGUGCA
rnacentral:tRNA from 1 species